UUGGGGGAGGCUUCUAAAGGGAAUCUUGACUGCCAUUAUUUGCAAUUCCCAUUUAAGGGUGUAAGAAGGCCUUUAUUCACUUCUAGAUUUUCCCCCCAGAGUUGAGGCAUGCUACUUCAGGAUAUAGACUAUGGAUAAUGGAUCCACUCCCCAUUAGCUACAGAUUUCCUGUUGCAGGAAACCAUACUAUCCAGGGGCCUUGGAGAGCACUUCACUAUCUGUUGUUUUUGCCACAUUAAAGAACUGGUUUGGUCAGAGCUUGCAAGCCACGUAAACCCCCGGGGCGCAAAUGCAAGAUGAGGGAGUGUCAUCCAUUUAGCUAAAUGGGGAGAGAUGAGGGAGUUCACCCGCUGAGGGGUAAAAAGGUAAUUUGAAGUGUACCCUUAUAAAUCUAAUAUGGUAGUGGUUUGUAGAUCAUUGUUGUAUUUUUUUUUUGUGUGUGUGUGUGUGUGUGUGUUAAAUCUUCUUAGUCCUUUUGCAAAGAAAAAACAGGAUGUUAUCAGUUUCGUAUCCUGGAUCGGACUCAGUUUCCCAUAACCCAUUGUAAAGACACAAUCUUUUCAUUCAGGUAUUGACCCUCUAUUGGUGGGUGGUAAA